UCCGGCGGCCAUAUCACCCUGCAGCUCCCAGCUGGCCGCCCACUGGAGCUUGCCCAGUACCUGGAUGGGAGACCUCCUGGGAGAAACUAAGACUGCUGCUGGGA
rnacentral:rRNA from 1 species